rnacentral:rRNA from 1 species
AUUGAACGCUGGCGGCGUGCCUUACACAUGCAAGUCGAACGGCAGCACGGGUGCUUGCACCUGGUGGCGAGUGGCGAACGGGUGAGUAAUACACCGGAACGUACCUUAUCGUGGGGGAUAACGCAGCGAAAGCUGUGCUAAUACCGCAUACGCCCUGAGGGGGAAAGCGGGGGAUCGAAAGACCUCGCGCGAUUAGAGCGGCCGAUGCCUGAUUAGCUUGUUGGUGGGGUAAAAGCCCACCAAGGCGACGAGCAGUAGCUGGUCUGAGAGGACGAUCAGCCACACUAGGACUGAGACACGGCCCAGACUCCGAUGGGAGGCAGCAGUGGGGAAUUUUGGACAAUGGGGGCAACCCUGAUCCAGAAAGGCCGCGUGGGUGAAGAAGGCCUUCGGGUUGUAAAGCCCUUUUGUCAGGGAAGAAACACCGGCUCUAACACAGUCCGGGAAUGACGGUACCUGAAGAAUAAGCACCGGCUAACUACGUGCCAGCCGCCGCCGUAA